rfam:Camelus ferus unplaced genomic scaffold scaffold875, whole genome shotgun sequence.
CACAGGGGGUCUUCCUUCCAGGACUCUCCCCUAGGAAAGGAGUCGCGGCGCCCCAGAACUUGGUUAUGCCGGGAUGUGGCGCUGACUAAUGGCUGUUGGGUGCCGGUCUGGUCUUCAC